GAACUCUCCGGAGAGACUAGCAUUAUCCCUCAACAACCUCAGGAGCCUGGAUGCCUGACUCAGCAGCUUCUGUGUGUGGUUAAAACGUGCCAGGAUGGAAGAACCCAGCACCCUUCACUUCUGCCACCAUUGGAAGAAUGAGACUUGAGCAGUUCAGCCAUCCUAGGUGGAAGAGAGACAACAGCAGAGCUGAAGGAGGCAUGCCUGUGCACUCUGUGGGGCACAUACAGGGCCUACCUCCAUGAUCUCAGAACCUGCGUUAUGAUUUCCCUGUAGGAAUUGCCAAGGACUCCAAUAUGCAUCUUCUUACACCUCCAGCACCACUGUGUCUGUGAAGUCACUGGGUCGAAGAAGUAUCACUGUGUCUACCCAGCUUGGACCUAAUCUAAAGCUCCUGCCUGCUACAGUGCCAUUAAGAAUUAGCAUCUUUCCUUAUCCCCCAGGACAUGAAAAGAAAGAGUGUGCUUAGGUGUGAAAUGCAGCCUUUCCCAAAUUAAAAGACUUUCUUAUUUAUAACUGGGGUAUAAGAUACUAAAAUGUGGUUCUGCCUGAUCCACUCAUGGUCACUGGACCUAAAAUCUCCUAUUAAACGAUCAGUUGCUUUA